CUUGGUUUAGAGGAAGUAAAAGUCGUAACAAGGUUUCCGUAGGUGAACCUGCGGAAGGAUCAUUAACAUUUUCCAAAACCUUACCCUUUCAACCUCAACCAUAUGUGUUAUUAGUUAUCUCUAGUUGUAUAUGCUCCGGGAGUAGAUCUUGGUCCGUCACUUUUUAGAAUGGAACAAAAUUUAUUUUGGGAAGUUCUGAAUUGGAGAUACCAUAGCGUUCCUCAUAUAUGACAACUCCAUUUUUUUUUCUUUACACCCACCACAAAACUUAAAACAAUAUUUUGAACAGUCCAACGGAAGAUGGAGAAAUACCUUCGACCGUGAUUUAUGCAAAUAAAUCGAAUCCAAUUACAACUCUAAGCGAUGGAUGUCUCGGCUCUU
rnacentral:misc_RNA from 1 species